rnacentral:rRNA from 1 species
GUCUUUUUGAAUUUAAUAAAAAGUCUAGCCUGCCCAGUGAAUUUUAUAUUUUAACGGCUGCGGUAUUUUGACCGUACAAAGGUAGCAUAAUCAUUAGUUUUUUAAUUGAAAACUCGUAUGAAAGGUUGAACAAAAAAUUAGCUGUUUCAUAAAAAUUUUAUUAAAACUUUACUUUUUAGUUAAAAGGCUAAAAUAAUUUUAAAAGACGAGAAGACCCUAUAGAGUUUAAUUUAAUUUUUAAUUUUAUUAAUUAAGUAUAUUUAAAUUAAAGUUAAUAAUUAAAUUUUGUUGGGGUGACAAUAAAAUUUAAUUUACUUUUAUUUUUUAUUAACAUAAAUUUAUGAAUUAUUUGAUCCAAUUUUAUUGAUUAAAAAAUUAAAUUACCUUAGGGAUAACAGCGUAAUUUUUUUUUAGAGAUCUUAUCAAUAAAAAUUUUUGCGACCUCGAUGUUGGAUUAAAAUUAAUUUUAGGUGCAAAAGCUUAAAUAAUUAGGUCUGUUCGACCUUUAAAUUUUU